UACGAGGGGGGCGAGCGUUGUUCGGAAUUAUUGGGCGUAAAGGGCGCGUAGGCGGUGCGGUAAGUCACUUGUGAAACCUCUGGGCUCAACUCAGAGCCUGCAGGCGAAACUGCCGUGCUGGAGUGUGGGAGAGGUGCGUGGAAUUCCCGGUGUAGCGGUGAAAUGCGUAGAUAUCGGGAGGAACGCCUGUGGCGAAAGCGGCGCGCUGGACCACAACUGACGCUGAGGCGCGAAAGCUAGGGGAGCAAACAGG
rnacentral:rRNA from 1 species